UACCCAAAACCCCAAUCAUUUCCUUCCCCGACUCGGCCAUCCCCUUUCCCCUUCCUCUCUCUGUUCUCUCAACUCACAUAACCAAAUCAAUCACAAACCUUGCACAAAUUCGUGCAAGGUCGUGAAUCAACCAUAAAAUCAUCCCUUCUGCCUCCCCAAGCCGUGAUUCUCUCCAACUCCCUUCCCGUUUCAUCACUUGAAAUUCAAGUUCCUAAAUCUGAAACCCUAGAUUCAAUGAUGCAACAUUAAAUCUCAAGAUUUCUCUUAUGCGCUGUUAAAUCUAUGGCAUGCAUGGCCAUUUCUUUAGUGUUAUCAUCAUUAUUCUUUGUUAUCAUUAUUCUUUAGUGUUAUCAUCAUUAUUCUUUAGUGUUAUCAUCAUUGGGGCUUUUAUCUGGUGGAUUUUGCUUUCAACGGACAGUUUCCCCAUCUCAGAUUUGAGCCAUUUGGAUGGUGAUUUGCAAUGAAAGAUAUUUUUGGAGUAUUGAUUUGGCUUGUUUGAGAUUCAGGUGUUGGAUCCAAUCUAAUUUUGUGAGUGGAGCUAUUCAUUAUGCUUUGGAGACCAAGGUAGAGCUGCUCCCUGAUUGCAGUUCUCUCUUGCUAUGUUAAUGAUUGUUGUUGUUUCAGACAAUAUAUUUGUAUUUCAGACUUGUAUUCGUGUUGUAGAGCUUAUGAUUCGGUAUUACCAGUUCUAGGGAGUUGUAUUAUGAUUUGAUAUUAUCAAUGGCUAUUUGCCUCUCAGACUUAUCUUUUCUGUAAUUCGUUAUCAUGUUUCUUUAA